GACGAACGCUGGCGGCGUGGAUUAGGCAUGCAAGUCGGACGGUAGGGCUUUAUCGUAAGAUAGAGUUUGAGAGUGGCGAACGGGUGAGUAACACGUAGGAAUCUACCCUUAAGACGGGGACAACCCAGGGAAACUUGGGCUAAUACCGGAUGAGAGUGCGAGAGAUUGCAUUUAAAAGGAUGGCGAAAGUUAUCGCUUAGGGAUGAGCCUGCGGUCUAUUAGUUAGUUGGUGGGGUAAGAGCUCACCAAGGCGAUGAUAGAUAGGCGGCCUUAACGGGUGGUCGCCCACACUGGGAUUGAGAUACGGCCCAGACUCCUACGGGAGGCAGCAGUCGAGAAUAGUCUACAAUGGCCGGAAGGCUGAUAGUGCGACGCCGCGUGAACGAGGGAGCCCUUCGGGUGUAAAGUUCUUUUCUAUACGAGCAGUGCUAUAUAUAUGGAUAGUAUAUAUAGAGGGAUAGUAGUAUAGGAAUAAGCAACGGCUAACUCCGUGCCAGCAGCCGCGGUAAA
rnacentral:rRNA from 1 species